rnacentral:rRNA from 1 species
GUCAGAUGACGCUAGCGGCAGGCCUAAUACAUGCAAGUCGGACGGGAUUGGAGAGCUUGCUUUUCAUGAGAGUGGCGCACGGGUGCGUAACACGUAUGUAACCUACCUUCACCAGGGGGAUAGCCUCUCGAAAGAGAGAUUAAGACCGCAUAACAUUAUAGGAUAGCAUUAUUUUAUAAUCAAAUAUUUAUAGGGUGAAGAUGGGCAUGCGGAACAUUAGCUAGUUGGUAAGGUAACGGCUUACCAAGGCUACGAUGUUUAGGGGAUCUGAGAGGAUGACCCCCCACACUGGUACUGAGACACGGACCAGACUCCUACGGGAGGCAGCAGUAAGGAAUAUUGGUCAAUGGGCGGAAGCCUGAACCAGCCAUGCCGCGUGCAGGAAGACGGCCCUACGGGUUGUAAACUGCUUUUAUACGGGAAUAAACCUAUCUACGUGUAGAUAGCUGAAUGUACUGUAAGAAUAAGGAUCGGCUAACUCCGUGCCAGCAGCCGCGGUAAUACGGAGGAUCCAAGCGUUAUCCGGAUUUAUUGGGUUUAAAGGGUGCGUAGGUGGCCUGUUAAGUCAGGGGUGAAAGACGGUAGCUCAACUAUCGCAGUGCCUUUGAUACUGACGGGCUUGAAUGAACUAGAGGUAGGCGGAAUGUGACAAGUAGCGGUGAAAUGCAUAGAUAUGUCACAGAACACCAAUUGCGAAGGCAGCUUACUAUGGUUUUAUUGACACUGAGGCACGAAAGCGUGGGGAUCAAACAGGAUUAGAUACCCUGGUAGUCCACGCCCUAAACGAUGAAUACUCGAUGUUGGCGAUAUACGGUCAGCGUCUAAGCGAAAGCGUUAAGUAUCCACCUG